CAGCCGCCACGGUAAAACGAAGGGGGCUAGCGUUGUUCGGAUUUACUGGGCGUAAAGCGCACGUAGGCGGAUCCUUAAGUCAGAGGUGAAAUCCCAAGGCUCAACCUUGGAACUGCCUUUGAUACUGGGGAUCUCGAGUCCGGGAGAGGUGAGUGGAACUGCGAGUGUAGAGGUGAAAUUCGUAGAUAUUCGCAAGAACACCAGUGGCGAAGGCGGCUCACUGGCCCGGUACUGACGCUGAGGUGCGAAAGCGUGGGGAGCAAACAGGAUUAGAUACCCCCGUAGUCCCUGUCUCUUAUAC
rnacentral:rRNA from 1 species